rnacentral:rRNA from 1 species
AACGAACGCUGGCGGCAGGCUUAACACAUGCAAGUCGAGCGCGCCGCAAGGGGAGCUGCAGACGGGUGAGUAACGCGUGGGAACGUACCCUUUGCUACGGAAUAGCUCCGGGAAACUGGAAUUAAUACCGUAUGUGCCCUACGGGGGGAAGAUUUAUCGGCAAAGGAUCGGCCCGCGUUGGAUUAGCUCGUUGGUGGGGUAAUGGCCUACCAAGGCGACGAUCCAUAGCUGGUCUGAGAGGAUGAUCAGCCACAUUGGGACUGAGACACGGCCCAAACUCCUACGGGAGGCAGCAGUGGGGAAUAUUGGACAAUGGGCGCAAGCCUGAUCCAGCCAUGCCGCGUGAGUGAUGAAGGCCUUAGGGUUGUAAAGCUCUUUCACCGGAGAAGAUAAUGACGGUAUCCGGAGAAGAAGCCCCGGCUAACUUCGUGCCAGCCGCCGCAGUAACAC